rnacentral:rRNA from 1 species
UACGUAGGGGGCAAGCGUUGUCCGGAAUCAUUGGGCGUAAAGAGCGUGUAGGCGGCCAGAAAAGUCCGCUGUGAAACUCGAGGCUCAACUUCGAGCUGUCGGUGGAAACUUUCUGGCUAGAGUCCGGAAGAGGAGAAUGGAAUUCCUGGUGUAGCGGUGAAAUGCGCAGAUAUCAGGAAGAACACCCGCUGGCGAAGGCGGUUCUCUGGGACGGUACUGACGCUGAGACGCGAAAGCGUGGGGAGCGAACAGG